CCCUUAGAUGUUCUGGGCUGCACGCGCGCUACACUGAUACUUUCAGCGAGUCCACCACCUUGCCUGGGAGGGUGGGGUAACCUCUGGAAAGUGCAUCGUGAUGGGGAUCGAUUAUUGUAAUUAUUAAUCUUCAACGAGGAAUUCCUAGUAAGCAUGUGUCAUCAGCCCGUGCUGAUUACGUCCCUGCCCUUUGUACACACCGCCCGUCGCACCUACCGAUUGAAUGGUCCGGUGAAGCCUCGGGAUUGUGGCCAGUUCACUUUAUUGGGAGUUGGCUGUGAGAACUUGUCUAAACCUUAUCAUUUAGAGGAAGGUGAAGUCGUAACA
rnacentral:rRNA from 1 species